rnacentral:rRNA from 1 species
UACGGGGGAUCCGAGCGUUAUCCGGAUUUAUUGGGUUUAAAGGGUGCGUAGGCGGUCCGUUAAGUCAGCGGUAAAAUUGCGGGGCUCAACCCCAUCCAGCCGUUGAAACUGGGGAUCUAGAGUGUGCGAGAGGUAUGCGGAAUGCGUGGUGUAGCGGUGAAAUGCAUAGAUAUCACGCAGAACCCCGAUUGCGAAGGCAGCAUACCGGCGCCCGACUGACGCUGAAGCACGAAAGCGUGGGUAUCGAACAGG